rnacentral:rRNA from 1 species
GACGAACGCUGGCGGCGUGCUUAACACAUGCAAGUCGAACGGAAAGGCCCUGCUUUUGUGGGGUGCUCGAGUGGCGAACGGGUGAGUAACACGUGAGUAACCUGCCCUUGACUUUGGGAUAACUUCAGGAAACUGGGGCUAAUACCGGAUAGGAGCUCCUGCUGCAUGGUGGGGGUUGGAAAGUUUCGGCGGUUGGGGAUGGACUCGCGGCUUAUCAGCUUGUUGGUGGGGUAGCGGCUUACCAAGGCUUUGACGGGUAGCCGGCCUGAGAGGGUGACCGGCCACAUUGGGACUGAGAUACGGCCCAGACUCCUACGGGAGGCAGCAGUGGGGAAUAUUGCACAAUGGGCGGAAGCCUGUUGCAGCAACGCCGCGUGCGGGAUGACGGCCUUCGGGUUGUAAACCGCUUUCGCCUGUGACGAAGCGUGAGUGACGGUAAUGGGUAAAGAAGCACCGGCUAACUACGUG